rnacentral:rRNA from 1 species
GACGAACGCUGGCGGCGUGCUUAACACAUGCAAGUCGAACGGAAAGGCCCUGCUUUUGUGGGGUGCUCGAGUGGCGAACGGGUGAGUAACACGUGAGUAACCUGCCCUUGACUUUGGGAUAACUUCAGGAAACUGGGGCUAAUACCGGAUAGGAGCUCCUGCUGCAUGGUGGGGGUUGGAAAGUUUCGGCGGUUGGGGAUGGACUCGCUGCUAAUCAGCUUGUUGGUGGGGUAGUGGCUUACCAAGGCUUUGACGGGUAGCCGGCCUGAGAGGGUGACCGGCCACAUUGGGACUGAGAUACGGCCCAGACUCCUACGGGAGGCAGCAGUGGGGAAUAUUGCACAAUGGGCGGAAGCCUGAUGCAGCAACGCCGCGUGCGGGAUGACGGCCUUCGGGUUGUAAACCGCUUUCGCCUGUGACGAAGCGUGAGUGACGGUAAUGGGUAAAGAAGCACCGGCUAACUACGUG